GCCAGACUCCUACGGGAGGCAGCAGUGGGGAAUAUUGCACAAUGGGGGAAACCCUGAUGCGGCGACGCCGCGUGGGCGAGGAAGUACCUCGGUAUGUAAAGCCCUAUCAGCAGGGAAGAAACAGGACAGUACCUGACUAAGAAGCCCCGGCUAACUACGUGCCAGCAGCCGCGGUAAUACGUAGGGGGCAAGCGUUAUCCGGAUUUACUGGGUGUAAAGGGAGCGUAGACGGCCAGACAAGUCAGAAGUGAAAGCCCAGGGCUCAACCCUGGGACUGCUUUUGAAACUGCCGGGCUGGAGUGCAGGAGAGGUAAGCGGAAUUCCUAGUGUAGCGGUGAAAUGCGUAGAUAUUAGGAGGAACACCAGUGGCGAAGGCGGCUUACUGGACUGUAACUGACGUUGAGGCUCGAAAGCGUGGGGAGCAAACAGGAUUAGAUACCCUGGUAGG
rnacentral:rRNA from 1 species